rnacentral:rRNA from 1 species
UAACACGUAUCCAACCUGCCGUCUACUCUUGGACAGCCUUCUGAAAGGAAGAUUAAUACAAGAUGGCAUCAUGAGUUCACAUGUUCACAUGAUUAAAGGUAUUCCGGUAGACGAUGGGGAUGCGUUCCAUUAGAUAGUAGGCGGGGUAACGGCCCACCUAGUCUUCGAUGGAUAGGGGUUCUGAGAGGAAGGUCCCCCACAUUGGAACUGAGACACGGUCCAAACUCCUACGGGAGGCAGCAGUGAGGAAUAUUGGUCAAUGGGCGCAGGCCUGAACCAGCCAAGUAGCGUGAAGGAUGACUGCCCUAUGGGUUGUAAACUUCUUUUAUAAAGGAAUAAAGUCGGGUAUGUAUACCCGUUUGCAUGUACUUUAUGAAUAAGGAUCGGCUAACUCCGUGCCAGCAGCCGCGGUAAUACGGAGGAUCCGAGCGUUAUCCGGAUUUAUUGGGUUUAAAGGGAGCGUAGAUGGAUGUUUAAGUCAGUUGUGAAAGUUUGCGGCUCAACCGUAAAAUUGCAGUUGAUACUGGAUAUCUUGAGUGCAGUUGAGGCAGGCGGAAUUCGUGGUGUAGCGGUGAAAUGCUUAGAUAUCACGAAGAACUCCGAUUGCGAAGGCAGCCUGCUAAGCUGCAACUGACAUUGAGGCUCGAAAGUGUGGGUAUCAAACAGGAUUAGAUACCCUGGUAGUCCACACGGUAAACGAUGAAUACUCGCUGU